rnacentral:rRNA from 1 species
GACGAACGCUGGCGGCGUGCUUAACACAUGCAAGUCGAGCGGUAAGGCCCUUUCGGGGGUACACGAGCGGCGAACGGGUGAGUAACACGUGGGUGACCUGCCCUCAGCUCUGGGAUAAGCCUGGGAAACCGGGUCUAAUACUGGAUAUGACUCCAUGACGCAUGUUGUGGGGUGGAAAGCCUUGUGCGGCUGAGGAUGGGCCCGCGGCCUAUCAGCUUGUUGGUGGGGGUGAUGGCCUAGCAAGGCGACGACGGGUAGCCGGCCUGAGAGGGCGACCGGCCACACUGGGACUGAGACACGGCCCAGACUCCUACGGGAGGGCAGCAGUGGGGGAAUCUUGCGCAAUGGGCGGAAAGCCUGACGCAGCGACGCCGCCGUGAGGG